AGAGUUUGAUCAUGGCUCAGGAUGAACGCUGGCGGUCUGCUUAACACAUGCAAGUCGAACGGAGUAGAAAUACUUAGUGGCGGACGGGUGAGUAACGCGUGAGAAUCUGCCUUCAGGACGGAGACAACAGUUGGAAACGACUGCUAAGCCCCGAUGUACCGAAAGGGAAAAUAUUUAUAGCCUGAAGAUGAGCUCGCGUCCGAUUAGCUAGUUGGCGGAGUAAAAGCCCACCAAGGCGACGAUCGGUAGCUGGUCUGAGAGGACGAUCAGCCACACUGGGACUGAGACACGGCCCAGACUCCUACGGGAGGCAGCAGUGGGGAAUUUUCCGCAAUGGGCGAAAGCCUGACGGAGCAAGACCGCGUGGGGGAAGAAGGCUCUUGGGUUGUAAACCCCUUUUGUCAGGGAAGAACACAAUGACGGUACCUGAAGAAUCAGCAUCGGCUAACUCCGUGCCAGCAGCCGCGGUAAUACGGAGGAUGCAAGCGUUAUCCGGAAUUAUUGGGCGUAAAGCGUCCGCAGGUGGCACUUCAAGUCUGUCGUCAAAGACCGGGGCUUAACCCUGGAAAGGCGAUGGAAACUGAAAGGCUAGAGAGAGGUAGGGGUAGAGGGAAUUCCCAGUGUAGCGGUGAAAUGCGUAGAGAUUGGGAAGAACAUCGGUGGCGAAAGCGCUCUACUGGACCUCAUCUGACACUCAGGGACGAAAGCUAGGGGAGCGAAUGGGAUUAGAUACCCCCGUAGUCC
rnacentral:rRNA from 1 species